GAUGAACGCUGGCGGCGUGCUUAACACAUGCAAGUCGAACGGAAAGGCUCCUGCCUGCAGGGGUACUCGAGUGGCGAACGGGUGAGUAACACGUGGGUGAUCUGCCCUGUACUUCGGGAUAAGCUUGGGAAACUGGGUCUAAUACCGGAUAUGACAAUCUCUUGGAUGGGGUUGUGGAAAGCUUUUGCGGUAUGGGAUGAGCUCGCGGCCUAUCAGCUUGUUGGUGGGGUAAUGGCCUACCAAGGCGUCGACGGGUAGCCGGCCUGAGAGGGUGUACGGCCACAUUGGGACUGAGAUACGGCCCAGACUCCUACGGGAGGCAGCAGUGAGGAAUAUUGCACAAUGGGCGCAAGCCUGAUGCAGCGACGCCGCGUGGGGGAUGACGGCCUUCGGGUUGUAAACUCCUUUCGCAACCGACGAAGCUUUUGUGACGGUAGGUUGAGAAGAAGCACCGGCUAACUACGUG
rnacentral:rRNA from 1 species